AAUAGGAAGUUAUUUUUGAGCGAGCCCUAAGGGAAUCCUGUGAGAAUCAGGAGUGGACCCGCCGCUGUGACCGGGGACGAAAAGCGCAAAAAUGCCACUGUUCCGCUAUACACGGGAUGGGAAGGCGCGUUGAUUAGGAACGGGGACGGAAUAACUUUCUCAAUUAGACGCAUAGAUUUGGGUCAUAUUUGUUCGAUCUCAAAUCACAAAAAUUGAUGGAAUAGCAAGCUAUUUNNCUAUGAUGUAUAAUGGGGAAGUUGUUUCGUCUCCGUUCCAUAGAGCCGGGAGCCAGAAGACCUGCCUGAAAAGAUCGCUCUAU
rnacentral:ncRNA from 2 species